AUCACCGGCUCUCAAACGAUCACCGAAGUUAAGCAACGUCGUGUUUGGUCAGUACCUAGAUGGGUGACCGCUUGUGAAUACCAGAUG
rnacentral:rRNA from 1 species